GUGGGGAAUUUUGGACAAUGGGCGCAAGCCUGAUCCAGCCAUGCCGCGUGUGUGAAGAAGGUCUUCGGAUUGUAAAGCACUUUAAGUUGGGAGGAAGGGCAGUAAGUUAAUACCUUGCUGUUUUGACGUUACCGACAGAAUAAGCACCGGCUAACUUCGUGCCAGCAGCCGCGGUAAUACGAAGGGUGCAAGCGUUAAUCGGAAUUACUGGGCGUAAAGCGCGCGUAGGUGGUUUUGUAAGUUGGAGGUGAAAUCCCCGGGCUCAACCUGGGAACUGCCUCCAAAACUGCAUGACUAGAGUACGGUAGAGGGUAGUGGAAUUUCCUGUGUAGCGGUGAAAUGCGUAGAUAUAGGAAGGAACACCAGUGGCGAAGGCGACUACCCGGACUGAUACUGACACUGAGGUGCGAAAGCGUGGGGAGCAAACAGGAUUAGAUACCCCGGUAGUCC
rnacentral:rRNA from 1 species